rnacentral:rRNA from 1 species
GACGAACGCUGGCGGCGUGCUUAACACAUGCAAGUCGAACGAGAGCGUAGAGAAAGCUUGCUUUUUCUACAAUCUAGUGGCAAACGGGUGAGUAACGCGUAAACAACCUGCCCUACGGAUGGGGACAACAGCUGGAAACGGCUGCUAAUACCGAAUACGUUCCGAAAGUCGCAUGACUAUCGGAAGAAAGGAUGGCCUCUAUUUAUAAGCUAUCGCCGGAGGAGGGGUUUGCGUCUGAUUAGCUAGUUGGAGGGGUAACGGCCCACCAAGGCGACGAUCAGUAGCCGGUCUGAGAGGAUGACCGGCCACAUUGGAACUGAGACACGGUCCAGACUCCUACGGGAGGCAGCAGUGGGGAAUCUUCCGCAAUGGGCGAAAGCCUGACGGAGCAACGCCGCGUGAGUGAAGACGGCCUUCGGGUUGUAAAGCUCUGUUAUACGGGACGAAUAAUCUUGUGGUUAAUACCCAUGAGAAGUGACGGUACCGUAAGAGAAAGCCACGGCUAACUACGUG